AGCCAUUGGCACUCUGCUUCUCCGGCGUCUUCAGGUCGCUGGCAUCUGAGAGGUCACCAUAGGAGUCAGAGCUCUCAAUCGGAUCCUGAUGUGAGCAUUUCUGGCCUUCUACAAAAAAACAAAAUACAGGAGAGAGAUGAGGCCAGGCUCUGGAGAUGCCCCCUCUGGAGGGGUCAUGAGGGGCCAGCUCACAGACCUGUGGAGGGCAGCUGUUGGCCAGCCACUGUCCUGGCAGAACCCGCGAAGGGUCAGCUGGUCAGUCUGGGAGACUGGAGUGCCUACAGGGGUGAAAUGGCAGGGCCCUAGGGCUGCCAGCCUCCCUUGCUGUGGACUCUUCAUGCAGCUGCACGUGUACUGCUCACCGUCAUCUCAGCCUGCUUCAAGGAAGGGAUACAGAGAGGGCAACUCUGCUACUGCUGCCCAGAACAACUCAAAGACCCCCAACUCCUAGGCACUCUUUUGGGUGCCUCUGGGGGUAAAAUUGGUAUUCUGAUGAUGCCGAGCCAGUGUGACAGUGGCUUCGCCUCCUGCACCAGACUAGCUGCACUGUAGCAAGCCAGGCAGAACCAGAGCCAUCAGGUCCUUAACCUGGGUAGACCCCAUCAAUGGCUCAGACAGAAGCCAAUCCUUUUCCUAAUGCUGCAAACAUGAGCCCUGUUCUUACCGCCUUCCUUCUGCCAAAACCCUUCCAGGGCCAAGCAGCCAAAGGACAGAGAUUGAAAGCAACUCUGUACUUCUCAGUCGGCUGGGUGUCCCCACCCUAGGCCCCAGACAAGCUGGGCCAAGAGACAACCCUGGCUGCUCUGCCUUGCCGGGCCCACACUGAGUCCUCCACCAAUCAGCAGCUUCCUGCCUGGGUCCAGAGCGACGUGCCGGGAAGGGAGGUCUGUGAUGGGAGCAUGGAGCAUGCCAUCUCUGCUAUUUCUACCAUCUGCCAAGCCCCUGGCCUCAUCCCCAAGGCAACAACAACGUGACAUACAACAAAACAACCUGAAUCAACAAGUGAAGAACUGUAAGAGAAAGCAACAUUCACCUUUAAAUGUGUUACGGAUCAAAUGGUAACCCACUGAAGACCACCCCAUUACCUUGUGCUAGAACGGAACUGCCUCUACCAUCUCUCUUUAACAGAAGCACAUCCUGAGAACCUGAGAGCUCAAGGUAAGUGAACACUGUCACCACAUACAGACAUCUAACUAUCUCUUUACUGUACAACCAUAGCAAGAAACAAACGCAUGCAAUGCCGUCAAGGUAGAAGACACCACUGUUUACUAUCCCAGUUCCAAAUAUCUGUGUAUGUUAGCACAGCCUACCUAGCUCUUAUGUCAUUAUCUUUUUAAGUAAAUAUUAUACAUAUGAACUGAAUUUGUAGCAAUGAAA